AAAUGUACACAGUUGGGUCACUGCCACUUUUACCAAGAGAUAAAACACUUUCAGAAAGUUUCUGCACGCCUCUUUGCAAUCAGUCAGCCACUCCCCACUUCAGGUAACAACAGAGCUGCUUCCUGUAGCUACUGUGUGAAUUUACGUGUCACAGAAUGCUGUACAAACAGAGUUCUAUGCAGCCCGGGCUCUUUGUCCACCUGGCUCAGCAUGGCCCCAGUGACUGCAUGAGGCUGUACGUAUCUGCAGCCUGCCCCUUUUCAUGGUGUUUAUCCACUCACACAGUGAUGAGCAGUGGUGGAGGCAAUGCCCAGAGCUGUGGCAGCCACCUUGCAGCCGUGAAGCACCAGUGGGAAUGACAGUCAAGAGAACCACGGAGAUGCCAGCCCCUGGACCCACAGCAGCAGCACCUGCUUCCAGACUCAGAGUGUGAGAAAAAAAUAAACUCCUAUUUGUUUAUGGCAAGAGACAAGGUCUAGCUCUGUGAUGCAGGCCGGAGGACAGUGGUGUGAUCACAGCUCACUGCAGCCUUGAACUCCUGGGUUCCAGCAAUCCUCCCACCUCAGCCUCCUUAGUAGGCGUGGCUACAGUAAUGGAAGACAGCAAAAGAAGUUUGGAGAUUCCUGGUUUAAAGCAUUUAAAGCCUCUGUGAAAAUUUGCCCAGGCCAACAACUUCACUUUCCACACUCAGUGCCACGAAGUGCAGCUCUAAGCUGGGGAUUUCUGUGCAGAGAUGAUCCACUGAGUGCAACCCACCACCGUGCGGACACCACCCCUGCAGAAUCAUCUGUGAAAACAACCCCAGGCCCAGACAUAGGGGCCAGCUAAGCUUCGUAGCCCUCGAAAUACAGGGAGUGCCCCCUCUGGACCCUCGAGCCCACAGUCCAUCCACCACAGAGGUGUCUGCUGCUCAUCAGAUAGUUCCUACCAAGAAAAUGCUGUGUGAACCCAUCUGUGUGGCAAACCGGCACGGGGAGAAAGCUGACUUCCAAGGACGUCUACCAACUGUCACUUGCAAACCAGAACUUGCCUCUUUGUAGAUGAAGACUGGCAGGGCUGAAGAAAUGAUCUCAUGUUGAAAUUAAUGAUGAGCUUCAGGGUGAGGUGACUCAGUUCGAAUGCUGUUGAAUGUUGGUGUCAUGGGACUUUUACAAGAAGUAAAACUGGGCUAUAAAAAUGAUCCCCUUCCCCUCACUAGAGAAGGGAGGUUCUAUUCCUCUCUCUGUCUUUCCCUCUCUCUAUAUAUACCAAAGGUCAAAUCUUUGGUAUUUUGCAUUGAGUCUUUAAUUAUUCAUUCACUUUGACCUAGUAAUUGCACUUCAGAAAAAUAAAGGAAAAACUCGGGGCAUAAGUGGUGGUUAUGGGGGGCAGGGGAAGCGGGCAUGUGGUUGUUUUUCUCUUUUAUUUUUAAAUUUUUUGCUUUUUCUGCAUUUCUCAGGUUUGCCCUAAUGAGAUGCCUGACUUUAAUAAGAGAAGAAACCAUCAGUGUUUGCAAAGCCCCCUCAGUGUGCCUCACACUCCCUCUUCAGGCACAGCAGGCAUCUUCUCUGAGUGCCAGGGCCCCGGUGACCACACACCCACAUACACGGACCACCCACUCAACCCCUCAGGGAACACUGCCACCCCCACUUGCUACAUCAACUGCCUUUUCACCUUGUUUAGAAGCAAAAGUCAACUCAGGGGCCAGGAGACCCUGGGCAUGGGGCUAGGUCUGGGCAAGGUCUCGAGUCAGGGAGAGAGGGGCAAGGAGCCAUGUGCCUGGAGUGAGGCUGUGUCCCUGCCCUGGGCAAGUCAGGGUGGCUGGAACCUGCCCUUCUGGAGUGGGCCCCUCGAACUUGUUAGAGUACUUAUAACCUCCUGUCUGCACCCAGAAAACCCGCCCAGGAAGCAUUUCAUGUGGUGAAGAGAGAUUCCAAACUGGAACUUGGAGGCUCGUUCCCAGCCCCUCUCUGACGCCGAUUUCUUGAGUUGAUUUUGCCUGUGCAUUGAGCAGUUGGGGCUACAUAAGGUUUACAGGAUUCUAAAAAAUUAUCAUGACAUAUGUCAGGCAUACCAAAAGUGUAAUGAGUCAUAGAAUAAACACCUAGGCACACCCCUACUCAGCUGAAGAAGUAAAACAGUAUCAAGGUAGUGGAAAUCCCUCCUGCAUCCCUCUUCCCCCUCCCCAGUCUCCCACAACCCUUCCCCACCCCACUCGCAGUGGGGAGAAGCAUGGCCCUCAGCUCUCUUUAUGCGCUCACUUCUUAUAUCUCCCUAAACAAUAUAUGAAACAAUUUUCCAUAAGCGUCACUUGAAUACAAGCAGUCUAAUAUUGUAUAUACUUGCCUGUAACUUGCUUUUGUUUUUACUUUUCCUCUUGAAAUAAUGUUGAAUUCACAGAAGAGUUGCACAGAUGCCAAGUUCCCUGACACUCUUCACCAGCUUCCCCUAGUCUGAACAUCUUAUAUAACCACAGUCCAUUGAUCAAAACUAAGACAUUUACAUUGGUGCAUCCCCAUCAACUAAGUCACACUUUGGCUCAAAUUCCACCAGUGUUUCCACUCAUGUCCUUUUUGUGUUCCAGGAUCCUGGGACUUCAGGACACCACGUUGUAUGUAGCUGUAUGCCUCCUUAGUCUCAAUGUCAUGUUAGUGAUAUCUGAUGUGUGUGCUCAUCUUCACUGUUCCACGGUAUUUUAUUGUGUGAAAACAGCACAAUUUAUCCAUCCACUCUCCUAUUGAUGGACAUUUAGGCUGUUUUCAAAUUUGCCAUUAAAAAUGCUGCAGUGGACUUCCUUGUGCACAUCUUCUUAUGAGCGCUUAGGGCUGGGGUUAGGAGCGGAAUUGCAGGCUCACAGGGAAGGGCCAGAGUCGGCUUCACUAGGAAGCAAAGUUGCUUUCCAAAGUCCCUUGGCCAAUUUACUCUGGCAAAGUCUGAGUUCCCAUUUCUCUAUGUUCCUGCAGCACUUGCUAAUGUCAGACUUCCAAAUUUCUGUAAAUCUUGGGGGAGCAGGAUGUGAAAUGACAUGACUUGUUUGAAUUUGCAUUUCCCUGUUAGGUUGAACAGUUUCUCAAUGGUUAUUUGUCAUCCAAGCUUUGUCUCUAAAUUUCCUCUUCUGUUAAGGUUUCCCCCCAUUUUUCUAUAGGAUGAUUUUUUUUCACAAUUUAAGUGUUUGUGUGUGUAUGUGAUACUAAUAAUUCAUUAUCACUGUAGACAUGAAGAUGUGCCUCUGACAUUUCCCUUAAGGAAAGGACUUGCUAAUUGAGUUAAGGAGCUUGAGAGGAAGGGAUCAUCCUGGAUUAUCUGGGUAGGCCCCAAAUCCAAUGAUGGUGUCCUUAUUAACAGAGGGGCAGAGGGAGGUUUGAGACAGACAUGCAGAGUAGAGAGGUGGACAGAACAGAAUAGGCAGAGAGGAGAAGGUCAAGUGAGGCGGAAGUAGACAUCAAUGGCCUGUCUCCUCCCUGGCCAAAGCUGACUGGGCAAGAGAAGGACCCAUGAGCUGAGCCAACCCCUGUGGCUGACCAGUGGCCUGGCAGGCAUUGCCCAUUGAGGAAAGGUGCUUUCACAGGAAGGCUGCAGUACAUUGGGGUGGGGUGCCCAUGCUGGGCCAUGUGUGGGACAAGGAGAAACAGAAGAAUCUAGUCUUGGAGAAAUGGUGGCCGUGGUGAUGUGGAGAGAGAAGCAGGGAUGAAGGAGACCUGGGAAGCCCUGGCAUUUCCAGAUGCCCUGAAAUUGAAUUGGUAAGUUUUUAAAAAUCCCUUCUAUUUAUUUAUUUAUUUAUUUAUUUAUUUAUUUAUGAGAAAGGGUCUAGCUCUGUGACCCAGGCCGGAGGACAGUGGCAUGAUCAUAGCUCACUGCAGCCUCGAACUGAGCACCAGCUGCUUUCAGCUCCUGUCCACAGUGAGCUGUUGCAAGAGUUUCCUGGGGCUGCUGGAGCAAAGUACCCCAAACUGGGUGGCUUCGAGAAGACAGACUUAUUCUCCCAGUUCUAGAGGCUGAAAGUCUGGGACGAGGUGUUUGCAGGGCAAUGCUAUCCCCAGACGCUCUGGGGAAGCAUGCUUCCUCACUUCUCCCUGGCUCCUGACAGUUUCCUGUGGGUCUUUGAGGUUCCCUGGCUGGUCGAGGUCUCACUCCUGCCCCGGUUUUCAUGUGGCCACCUUCCCUCCAUGCUUGUCUGUCCCUGUGUCUGAAUUUCCCCUUUGUGUGACACCAGGCUUCUUGGGUUAGGACCCAGACUCAUGACUUCAUUUCAACUCCAUUCCCUCUAUAAAUACCCUGUCUCUAAAUGAGGCCACAUCUACGGUACUAGGGGUCAGGCAUGAACGUAUCUUUUUAGGAAAAAUCAAUUCAUUCCCAAUACCUGAGAACUCGUCUUUUGCAUCCUUGUAAUAGUAUUCCCCUUUUAUUUGAGGAGUGAGAGUGGGUUUCCUUGCUUGUAACCGGUGGGUCUCCACCACAGUGGUUUGUGGGUGCUCACUUCCAUGUGAGUGAGGAGCCGGGGGGCCCUGGGGUGUGCUCCCACGGGCUGUGUCUGUCCGCACCGCACAACAGGUGACGGCCAAAGCUGUGGGCAGAAAGUAGAGAACUGGAUGCAAGUGUUUGCCAGGUUGGCCUCGGAAUGUUAGAUCAGCCUCUGGCCCCCCAAACCUCCAGGAAAAGAAGCAGUGGUGGGGUUCAGCCUGAACCCUAAACAACCUCCAUGACUGGUCCCGUUCUUAUUCCAUUUUGUGGGUAGAGACUGGACUGGUGUUUGAAGGUUUCUCACAUUAUUUUCCGUGUCUAUGCCUCCACAGUUUCCUGCGGCUGUCUGCACACCCAGACCAGAGCAGUUCCUGCCUUUGCGCUUUGCACCAUUUUCCUUGGUGAACUUCUAUUCAUCCUUCAAAGCCCAGCAGUAAUCAUCCUUUAGAAAGUCUUCUUUCAGAGGGAACCAAAAAGGUAAUCGCUGGAGACAGACAGAUGCUGCCUGAAUGCCUGUUGUGUUGUGUGGUUGUGGGAAUGUUACUUCACCUCUCCGUGCCUCAGUUUCCUCAGCUGUAAUGGGGAUGGUAACAGUGUCUAGGGGUACUGCUUGGAAUGCACAUAGGGAGAUGAGUGAAGGCCCAGCACUAGAAGAGUGCAGGCACUAGCAGAGUGCAGGCGCAAUUGCUGCUGGGACCAGCAGGUAACUCGCAUCCAAGUUACAGUGCCCAGCCCCAGCAGCAGCCUCAGCACCAGGCAGAGUGUGCUCAGCACUGUGGGGGGCCAAGAGGACUUGAGGGCCGCUGGUCUGUGAUUCUCUCAUCUCUUUUGAGGUUCAGGACUUGGCGUCUCUCCUAGAAGCUCUGGGGAACCUGACAAAUCCUCCAGGAGGACACAGAACGCAGGAAGGGCUGGCUCGGGGUGCACCAAGAUGGCUGCCCCGAGACACCGUAUCUGAGGGCUUGGGUGGAACUGAGGAGAGGGCGGCUGGGAAGGCCAUCCGGGAGGAAAGGGCAGACGGCUACGGCAGCGUCAGGUGGUACAGUUUGCCCCGGAAGUGAGGUAAAGAAGAGAGCGGGAGGAGAGAGGGCCACAUGCCUCUCAGCCAUGGCCCUGAAUGCUGGCUUGGCUGAGCCUCAUCUUUGCUGUUUGCAGAAUGGGGAGAAUUGUGCCUGCCCAGCCUCCUCCUUGGGGACUCCAGGGGCCCAAAGAACCAAGAGCUGCAAAUGUCCUGGUGGCCUUGGAAGUUUAUGGAUGGUACAGAUCUGGGGUGGAGGGCAUGGCCAGGACAGGGAGGGCUGUCAGAGAGAGGGUCUGUGGGUUUGUGGAGUGUGGGGAUCAGUCGCUGACUCAUUAGAUGAACCAGGAGCCUGCAUGCUACAGCCCACCUGCCAAAUCUUGCCCCCACCUGCUUUUUAAAAUAAAGUUUUAUUGGAACAUG